GACGAACGCUGGCGGCGUGCUUAACACAUGCAAGUCGUACGGUAAGGCCCUUUCGGGGGUACACGAGUGGCGAACGGGUGAGUAACACGUGAGUAACCUGCCCACAACUUUGGGAUAACGCUAGGAAACUGGUGCUAAUACUGGAUAUGUGCUCCUGCUGCAUGGUGGGGGUUGGAAAGCUCCGGCGGUUGUGGAUGGACUCGCGGCCUAUCAGCUUGUUGGUGGGGUAGUGGCCUACCAAGGCGGCGACGGGUAGCCGGCCUGAGAGGGUGACCGGCCACAUUGGGACUGAGAUACGGCCCAGACUCCUACGGGAGGCAGCAGUGGGGAAUAUUGCACAAUGGGCGCAAGCCUGAUGCAGCAACGCCGCGUGCGGGAUGACGGCCUUCGGGUUGUAAACCGCUUUCAGCAGGGACGGAGCUUUUUGUGACGGUACCUGCAGAAGAAGCACCGGCUAACUACGUG
rnacentral:rRNA from 1 species